UUCUGUAGGUGAACUUGCGGAAGGAUCAUAG
rnacentral:rRNA from 1 species